UCAUUGGAAAUAUGCCCUUACCCAGAAUUCAUUCCAAAGUAAAGUCAGAGGAUAAGGAAAAUAGAAGUUCUCGGUGAUGCUGGCAGAGUGAAUAGAUUACAUCCAUGUUAUUAUGAGAGUCUGGUGACUUGUGGCACUUCUUCAACCCUAAUCCAGGCUACAUACACCUCUGCUUUAUGCUUCACCUCCUGCUUGCAUGGAACUCACAGACUAGCCAGAGGUGCAAGCUGAUGCUCUUCUCAGGAUCUGAACAUUGAAUCUGACCCUUCUGAGAGGACACUACACCACUAGAGGGAAUCAAACAGAAGAUACAAAAUUUCUGCUCUCA
rnacentral:lncRNA from 10 species